CCUACGGGAGCAGCAGGGGGGAAUUUUCCGCAAUGGGCGAAAGCCUGACGGAGCAACGCCGCGUGAGGGAUGAAGGCCUCUGGGCUGUAAACCUCUUUUAUCAAGGAAGAAGAUCUGACGGUACUUGAUGAAUAAGCCACGGCUAAUUCCGUGCCAGCAGCCGCGGUAAUACGGGAGUGGCAAGCGUUAUCCGGAAUUAUUGGGCGUAAAGCGUCCGCAGGCGGUCUUGUAAGUCUGUCGUUAAAGCGUGGAGCUUAACUCCAUUUCGGCGGUGGAAACUACAAGACUAGAGUGUGGUAGGGGCAGAGGGAAUUCCCGGUGUAGCGGUGAAAUGCGUAGAUAUCGGGAAGAACACCAGUGGCGAAGGCGCUCUGCUGGGCCAUAACUGACGCUCAUGGACGAAAGCUAGGGGAGCGAAAGGGAUUAGAUACCCCUGUAGUCCUAGCCGUAAACGAUGAACACUAGGUGUCGGGGGAAUCGACCCCCUCGGUGUCGUAGCUAACGCGUUAAGUGUUCCGCCUGGGGAGUACGCACGCAAGUGUGAAACUCAAAGGAAUUGACGG
rnacentral:rRNA from 1 species